rnacentral:rRNA from 1 species
GUGCUUAACACAUGCAAGUCGGAGUGCGCGUUUCCGUGUAGCAAUACAGGGAAAUGGCGCACGGCGCACGGGUGCGUAACACGUGGGCAAUCUGCCCUCGAGUGGGGAAUAACCCGCCGAAAGGCGGGCUAAUACCGCAUGACAUUCCGCGGACUUCGGUCUGCGGACUCAAAGCCCGCAAGGGCGCUUGAGGAGGAGCCCGCGGCCGAUUAGCUAGUUGGCGGGGUAACGGCCCACCAAGGCGAUGAUCGGUAGCUGGUCUGAGAGGACGGCCGGCCACACUGGAACUGAGACACGGUCCAG